rnacentral:rRNA from 1 species
CGUUCCCGGGCUUGUACACACCGCCCGUCACACCACGAAAGUCGGCAAUACCCGAAGCCGGUGGCCUAACCCGCAAGGGAGGGAGCCGUCGAAGGUAGGGUCGAUGAUUGGGUG